AGAUGAGGUAAUGAGCAGGGCACUGGCCUCUGACGCCCACAGGGCUGGGACUUCUCUCUCAAAGACCCAAGGCAGAGUUCAGAGAAAGGAGGCAGAAUCUAUGGGGGUCAUCUCUGCGCCUGCGGGGCCCUGGUGGGAGGAAAGGAAGGUGUGGGGAAGACAGAAGGGAAGGGGGGUGAGCUUUCAGGAGAAGCUCUGCCCCAUGGAAACCAGAAGGGAGAUGGGGGGAAGAGGGAAUGUGGAGAAGGCUCCCUAACACAGGCAGGGGAUGCUGGGCCAGGCGCUCAGAGAUGCAGGCCAGCUGGGGAUGGGGGAGCCUGGGGAAGGACGGGGAGGAGGGCGGCCAGGGAGACUGGGCUCCCGUGCUGGAGGGAAGGAACCGAGGGGAAGAGCAGGGCAUGGAGGGAAGGACCCGGGUCUCUUCGGGGAGAGGAGAGAGUCCGGAUCUGGGGGCAGGGACUCUAGGAAAUGGGGGGAGGCCUCUUGGAGGCAGGGCAGAAAAGGGUCUGCGGAGCCACUUAGGGAGAGGAAAGGGAAGGAGCCCGGAAGCAAGGAGGAUGCCUGGGGAGAAAGGGGCGGGGCAAGGUCUGGACGGGAGUAGAAGGGCCCGGGGAGCAGGGAACGAGCGGGGUGCAGACACGCGGCAGGGACCACCGGAGCGUGGGGCGGAUGGGGAAAUCGCGGCAAAGAAAAUUGACUUUAAAUUAAAGGACCCUCAACGAAUGAAAUAUCCAGUGUUUACUGAUGCGCAAAGCCUUGGGGAUACAAUUAGAACAGAGUCCCUCCUUUCAAAGAGCUGCCGUUCUAAGGGGAGAGACCACAUACACGGAAACAUCCUCCUGCAACUCAGCUGGAAAGUUCUCUAA
rnacentral:lncRNA from 1 species